AUACGUAGGUGGCAAGCGUUGUCCGGAAUGACUGGGCGUAAAGGGCGUGUAGGUGGAUUGAUCAGUCGGAUGUGAAAUACCCGGGCUUAACCUGGGAGCUGCAUUCGAUACGGUCAGUCUUGAGUGCAGGAGAGGGUAGUGGAAUUCCCAGUGUAGCGGUGAAAUGCGUAGAGAUUGGGAGGAACACCAGUGGCGAAGGCGGCUACCUGGACUGUAACUGACACUGAGGCGCGAAAGCGUGGGGAGC
rnacentral:rRNA from 1 species